rnacentral:tRNA from 1 species
GGCUCAAUGGUCUAGGUUAGUUGCCUUCACAUCUCCGGAUUUCGUCACUUUGAGGCGUGUUGAGACUAACAAGCGCACAGUGGUAUGAUUGUUGCUUCGGGUGUGACAGGCCCCGGGUUCAAAUCCCGGUUGAGCCC